CCUCAAAUUCACGAUGCAAAAAGACAUGAAGCGCGAAUGCCACCACUUCAACCCUCAAACAAGUCUUUGGUAUUACGCAUAUAUACCCACGAAAACAUGGAACUGAAGUGUUUAGCCAAAGGCUCAUUAUAUGAGAAAGACCUGUAUGAUUCUUUGGUUGCUCCGAGACUAUCAAACAGUGUCUUGGUCCAGUCCUUUCAGACAGACUCUGGGAUCCCAUCUUCCUGCUCUUCAGAGUAUAAGGUGAUGAAUGUAUCCAAAAUAAAGUUCCCGGAUACCAGUAUCUACUUGUCUGGUAAAAGAGAUCACGCCAAGUGGGCAGUGUCCGAGAAGUUGAGGAGAUGGGUGUGUGUUGGAGACCUUGACUGAGUGACUUCAGCCCUCAAGAGAGGGGGAGGAGCGUUGUGUAUGGUCAACUACACGGCUUGGAAGGCGUUUCAUAGCAUCAUAAACUCUGCUGACAAAUGUUAACUUGAAAUCACUGUGUUAUGUUUCAGCUUCUUUCGAUGAAAAAAAUACGAUAUGUUUUUAUA